rnacentral:rRNA from 1 species
AGAGGAGCUUGCUUUUCUUGAUUUAGUGGCGAACGGGUGAGUAACGCGUGAGUAACCUGCCCUGGAGUGGGGGACAACAGUUGGAAACGACUGCUAAUACCGCAUAAGCCCACGGUACCGCAUGGUACUGAGGAAAAAGGAUUUAUUCGCUCUAGGAUGGACUCGCGUCCAAUUAGCUAGUUGGUGAGGUAACGGCCCACCAAGGCGACGAUUGGUAGCCGGACUGAGAGGUUGAACGGCCACAUUGGGACUGAGACACGGCCCAGACUCCUACGGGAGGCAGCAGUGGGGGAUAUUGCACAAUGGGGGAAACCCUGAUGCAGCGACGCCGCGUGGAGGAAGAAGGUUUUCGGAUUGUAAACUCCUGUCGUUAGGGACGAUAAUGACGGUACCUAACAAGAAAGCACCGGCUAACUACGUGCCAGCAGCCGCGGUAAAACGUAGGGUGCAAGCGUUGUCCGGAAUUACUGGGUGUAAAGGGAGCGCAGGCGGACCGGCAAGUUGGAAGUGAAAUCCAUGGGCUCAACCCGUGAAUUGCUUUCAAAACUGCUGGCCUUGAGUAGUGCAGAGGUAGG